ensembl:lncRNA
CUCUAUUGUUGUUUAACUACAUAGCAAAUUUUCUGUUGAAAGUUGAAAGAAGAACUGAAUUUGAGCUGUGAAGUGAUAAUUGUCAGCUUUAUGCUUGAAGAUCAGUCCCUGCAGGAUUCCGUACUUCUGCGAUCUGAAAUUGGAAAAAAUCAUCGCAUAUGCAAAAUGUCAGAAAUCAAAAUCAAGAAUUUUUGCCCACAAAAUAACACAAAAAAUCCCUGUGAAAUUCUGAAGGGAUUGGUAGAUGCUCCGUGAAAGACAUUUGUAGAUGAUAUAGCCUGCUGCUUUUAGCCAGGUUCUAUUCAAUUACUGAGGUUAGCUUGGAUUUGGAUUUGCACUAUAACUUUCACCAAAUUCCCAGGUUUUCCAGAAAUCCCGGUUUGGAGGAUUCCUGAUUCCCUGCUGAUUCUAGGAAUCUUCCAAAUCAAAUCAAAAGGUAUUUGUCACAUGCUCCGUAAACAACAGGUGUAGACUAACAGGUGUAGACUAACAGGUGUAGACUAACAGGUGUAGACUAACAGGUGUAGACUAACAGUGAAAUGCUCCGUAAACAACAGGUGUAGACUAACAGGGGAAUGCUCCGUAAACAACAGGUGUAGUAGACCUCACAGUGAAAUGCUGAAUACAACAGGUGUAGUAGACCUUACAGUGAAAUGCUGAAUACAACAGGUGUAGUAGACCGUACAGUGAAAUGCUGAAUACAACAGGUGUAGUAGACCUCACAGUGAAAUGCUGAAUACAACAGGUGUAGUAGACCUCACAGUGAAAUGCUGAAUACAACAGGUGUAGUAGACCUCACAGUGAAAUGCUGAAUACAACAGGUGUAGUAGACCGUACAGUGAAAUGCUGACUGACGGGUCCUUUAGAACAAUGUAGAGAAAAAAUAGAAAAAAAUAAAAAAUAAAUGAGUAACAACUUGUCAGUAUACACUGGGUACCAGGUAAUAACAUGGUUAUAUACACAGGGUACCAGUACUGAGUAGAUGUGCAGGGGUAUGAGGUAAUAACAUGGUUAUAUACACUGGGUACCAGUAUGGAGUCAAUGUGCAGGGUAUGAGGUAAUAACAUGGUUAUAUACACAGGGUACCAGUACUGAGUAGAUGUAGAGGGGUAUGAGGUAAUAACAUGGUUAUAUACACAGGGUACCAGUACUGAGUAGAUGUAGAGGGGUAUGAGGUAAUAACAUGGCUAUAUACACAGGGUACCAGUACUGAGUAGAUAUGCAGGGGUAUGAGGUAAUAACAUGGUUAUAUACACUGGGUACCAGUACUGAGUAGAUAUGCAGGGGUAUGAGGUAAUAACAUGGUUAUAUACACAGGGUACCAGUACUGAGUAGAUGUAGAGGGGUAUGAGGUAAUAACAUGGCUAUAUACACAGGGUACCAGUACUGAGUAGAUAUGCAAGGGUAUGAGGUAAUAACAUGGUUAUAUACACUGGGUACCAGUACUGAGUAGAUAUGCAAGGGUAUGAGGUAAUAACAUGGUUAUAUACACACUAUUUAGCAGUCAACCAGGAUUUCUGGAAAAUGUAGGAAUUUGGUGAAAGCUGAAUUUAGCAACCCUAGCUUGGAUGAAAUACUACAUGCAGACACAGUAACAUGGUUAUAUACACAGGGCACCAGUACUGAUGAAAUACUACAUGCAGACACAGUAACAUGGUUAUAUACACAGGGCACCAGUACUGAUGAAAUACUACAUGCAGACACAGUAACAUGGUUAUAUACACAGGGCACCAGUACUGAUGAAAUACUACAUGCAGACACAGUAACAUGGUUAUAUACACAGGGCACCAGUACUGAUGAAAUACUACAUGCAGA